UACGUAGGGGGCAAGCGUUGUCCGGAAUCAUUGGGCGUAAAGCGCGUGUAGGCGGUUCGGUAAGUCUGCUGUGAAAGUCCAGGGCUCAACCCCUGGGAUGCCGGUGGAUACUGUCGGACUAGAGUACGGAAGAGGCGAGUGGAAUUCCCGGUGUAGGCGGUGGAAAUGCGCAGGAUAUCGGGAAGGAACACCAAUUGCGAA
rnacentral:rRNA from 1 species